ACCCAAAGUGUUGAGUUCAGUUCUGGGCUUUCUCCCCAGUUCUGGUAAUUAUUCUUUGGUACAGAAAAUGGCUGAGGGGUAAUAACAUGAAGUGGUUAUGUUUUGACCUCCUUCAUCAAACUUCAGCCUACAUUA